rnacentral:rRNA from 1 species
CUAGUUCUAACCAUAAACGAUGCCAGCUAGCGAUCUGCCGACGUUUUUUUUGUAGACUCGGCAGGAAGCUUCCGGGAAACCAAAGCGUUUGGGUUCCAGGGGAAGUAUGGUUGCAAAGCUGAAACUUAAAGGAAUUGACGGAAGGGCACCACCAGGAGUGGAGCCUGUGGCUUAAUUUGACUCAACACGGGAAAUCUCACCAGGCCCGGACACUGGAAGGAUUGACAGAUUGAUAGCUCUUUCUUGAUUCGGUGGGUGGUGGUGCAUGGCCGUUCUUAGUUGGUGGAGUGAUUUGUCUGGUUAAUUCCGAUAACGAACGAGACUCUGUCCUGCUAAAUAGUGUCCGCCUCUCUUUUGGGCGGACAAUUCUUCUUAGAGGGACUGGCGACUCUCAGUCGCACGAGAUUGAGCAAUAACAGGUCUGUGAUGCCCUUAGAUGUUCUGGGCCGCACACGCGCUACACUGAAUAGAUCAACGUGUUCCCCCUAUCCGAGAGGAUCGGGUAAACCGCUGAACCCUAUUCGUGGUAGGGAUCGGGGCUUGCAAUUGUUCCCCGUAAACCAGGAAUUCCCAGUAGGCGCAAGUCAUAAGCUUGUGUCGAUUACGUCCCUGCCCUUNGUACACACCGCCCGUCGCUACUACCGAUUGAACGUUUUAGUGAGGUCCUCGGACUGACAGGUUGGCGGAUUACUCUGCCUGCCUGGCGGGAAGACGACCA